AUUGAACGCUGGCGGCAUGCCUAACACAUGCAAGUCGAACGGCAGCGCGGGCUUCGGCCUCGCGUCGGGUGGGCAACGGGCGGGUGAUUCAUGGGUACGUGCGCAGCUGUGGGGGAGAGGCCGACGAAAGCCGGAGAAUUACAGUAUACCACCAUAGGGUGAAAGCGAGGGACCGAGAGGGCUCGCGCCAUUGGCGCGGCCGAUGUCGGAUUAGCUAGUUGGUUGGGUAACGGCCUACCAAGGCGACGAUCCGUAGCUGGUCUGAGAGGAUGACCAGCCACACUGGAACUGAGACACGGCCCAGACUCCUACGGGAGGCGGCAGUGGGGAAUUUUGGACAAUGGGGGCAAGCCUGAUCCAGCCAUGCCGCGUGGGGGAAGAAGGCCUUCGGGUUGUAAACCCCUUUUGUUGGGAAAGAAAUGCAGUAGGCUAAUACCCCGAUGGUAUGACGGUACCGAAAGAAUAAGCACCGGCUAACUACGUG
rnacentral:rRNA from 1 species